AUCCAGCUGACGAGUCCGAAAUAGGAUGAAACGCGCUUCCUGGAU
rnacentral:hammerhead_ribozyme from 1 species